UCUGAUCGGUUGAUGCCUUUGCCUUUUUGACUGAUAAUACUUUACUAUCAUUCCUGUAGGUGGUUAACAGAGGCACAAAGCACUCAUAUACGGCGAUCAGAGGAAGAAAUAACUUCAUGAUAUGAGAACGGUGCCUGAUGAAAUCAGUCUGGAAGGGAGGGAUGCAACCUCCAGCCAAACCCAACAGAUCAGGUGAUGUUUUAUUUCUAGGUAUCUACUCAAAACCCCUGUCCCUGUGGGCACAAGGGGGACUCCAGAUUCAUGGCACUUAUAAUCCAGAUGCAAGGAUGCCCCUAACCACGAUUUCAUGUUUCCGUUCGAAUGUCGCUGUCUCAACAAGACCUUCCCUAACUACCAGCGGUAAGCUGAAGCCAGCUACCACCAGCUCGCGAGAGUAGACGGUGAAAUUUUCAGAAAAUCUGCAAGCCAGUUAGUAUAUACAAUCAUUAAUUCCCUCCAAGGAGACAAUAGGCAGGGGCUGGAGACACUUUUGGUUAUCACAGCUGAGAGACUGGUACUGCUGGCAUCUUGUGAGCAGAGGCCUGGGAUACUGCUAACCUCUUACAACAUACGUGGCGGCCCCCGUACAAAAGAAUUAUGUGGCUGAAAGAUCAAGGGUACUGAGGUGAGUGACCUUACCACUCUAAGGUAGCCUCACUCCCCCACAUCCACCCAGCCCUCCCUUCCUUCUUUUCUGUAGGGUUUUCUCAGCACCUCACAGCUGUUAAUAACCGACAUGCCAACCUCUAACAGUCAACUGUGAGGAAGACAGAGGAGACUGCGGACUUGCUUCAGGAUUCCCUGAGCUGAGGAACACAGACGCUUUAACUGACCUUUACAGCCCAGUGUGGUAAAUGUUAGCAUUGGGGAAAUAUGAAAGAGGUUAUUAAACCCAGGCUUGGAACAUCAGGGAGGACUUCCUGUAGAAAGUAGCUUCAGUGUUAAGACUUCAGGCAGAGGAAGACUGAAUCGGAGAAGGGUGUAUGGGGGAUAGCUUUUAUUAUGGAGCACUUUCUGUGUUUGGAUCACUAUGCUGAGUAUUUUACUAUCUCAUUUAAUCCCUGAAACGCUUUCUGAGGUUUAUACUAUUGCUAUUUCUGUUUUAUAGCUGGGGCCACUGAAGCCUAGGUAUAUUAAUAACUUGCCUAAAGCCACACAGCUAAGAAAUGUUGAAGCAGGGCUUUGAACCCAGGUCUGUAGAUUCCAAAGCCAGACAGGAAGGGAUUGCUACUUACAGAGGACAAAAGGGUA